GCUUACGGCCAUACCAACCUGGCUAUGCCCGAUCUCGUCUGAUCUCGGAAGCUAAGCAGGUUUGGGCCUGGUUAGUACUUGGAUGGAGACCGCCUGGGAAUACCGGGUGCUGUAAGCU
rnacentral:rRNA from 1 species